AGCGGCGGACGGGUGAGUAACACGUAAGUAACCUACCCUCAAGACUGGCAUAACCCACCGAAAGGUGAGCUAAUUCCAGAUGUGGUUAAUCUUAGGCAUCUUAGAUUAAUUAAAGGGAACCUAAAGAACCGCUUGAGGAUGGACUUGUGGCCUAUCAGCUUGUUGGUGAGGUAACGGCUCACCAAGGCUACGACGGGUAGCUGGUCUGAGAGGACGAUCAGCCACACUCGCACUGAGACACGGGCGAGACUUCUACGGAAGGCAGCAGUGAGGAAUUUUCUGCAAUGGGCGAAAGCCUGACAGAGCGACGCCGUGUGUGUGAUGAAAUCCUUCGGGAUGUAAAACACUGUCAGAGGGGACGAUAUUGACGGUACCCUCAGAGGAAGCCCCGGCUAACUACGUGCCAGCAGCCGCGGUAAUACGUAGGGGGCGAGCGUUGUCCGGAUUUAUUGGGCGUAAAGAGCGCGUAGGCGGCGACCUAAGUCGAGUGUUAAAGGUAUGGGCUCAACUCAUACAUCGCGCUCGAUACUGGGUUGCUAGAGUAAGACAGAGGAAAGCGGAACUUCCGGUGUAGCGGUGAAAUGCGUAGAUAUCGGAAGGAACACCAGUGGCGAAGGCGGCUUUCUGGGUCUUUUCUGACGCUGAGGCGCGAAAGCUAGGGGAGCAAACGGGAUUAGAUACCCCGGUAGUCCUAGCCCUAAACAAUGUUCACUAGGUGUUUGUGGUAUCGACCCCACAUGUGCCGAGCUAACGCGUUAAGUGAACCGCCUGGGGAGUACGGCGCAAGGCUAAAACUCAAAUGAAUUGACGGGGGCCCGCACAAGCGGUGGAGCAUGUGGAUCAAUUCGAUGCUACGCGAAGAACCUUACCUGGGCCUGAAAUGCUAGUAGUA
rnacentral:rRNA from 1 species